AAGUGGUGUGUUGGCAAUGAUUAGAACGAAAUAGUUCCAUAGCCAAAAUAUAUAUUUUUUGACUUUCCGCGUGUAUUUAAGAAUUUGUUUGGGUAUUUGUUAAGUUUGAACAUUUUUUUAAAUCUCUGGUGAAAUAAAAACGUUAUGUUAACGGUAAAAAAAUAUUACGUGCCGAAACCGUGGUCGCGCAUUAAUAAUGUUAAUAGUCACUUGUUUGUUUUCUCUUUCAGCCGCUUUCAGCAGCUCUUUAAGCAGUCUGCAGUCUGUACGCCAUAUUGCAGUGUGUUUUAAUAUAUUACUGACCGUGAAAUAACGUACAGUUUGUGUUUCAGGAUUUUGUGUUAAUAUUGUGUAUUUUAACUUUGUUAUAUUAUUUAUUAUCUACUAUUGUAAUGAUGGAAUUUGUUAUCGUUUUGAUAUUUUGUGUGGUUCUUGUGAUUGCUGUAAUGGUAAUUGGUUCCGGGAUGGGGAAAGCUACUUCGUCGCACCGUCAGAUGGACAUCAUUAACGUCGCUCAGAACUUAUAUCUUUUAAUUAGGAAAGGCGACUUGAAGAAAUGUGACGUUACGCAGACGACCGCGUUUCUUCUCAACAUCGCAAAGUCAACUGUUCUCAAGUACUACAAGAAAGACAUUGAAGAAGUUUCAACACCAGGAAAAAAGAGGAAAAAAAGGCCACAGGAAGGAAAGUCACUUGACACAGUCGACGAUUUCACAGUAAAUGCAAUCAGGAAUGCAAUUUACAGGAUGUACGCUGAAGGUUUGAAUGUUACAGUCGACACCAUUUUGAAAGAAAUCAGGGAAAGACAAAUAGAUUAUUAUGGUGGAAGAUCAAGUCUUCAUAAAUUGUUAAAGAAGAUGGGAUUUUCAUGGAAAACUGUUGAUGGACGAAAAGCUUUGAUAGAGAAUGAAAACAUAGUAUUGCAGCGAAUAGAUUUCUUGAGAAAGUAUAAAGAAGAAAAAGAAAGAGGUGCCAAUUUCAUAUUUGUUGAUGAAACAUGGAUUUUCCAGAGAGGAACUGUAUCAAAGUCAUGGCAGGACAAGAGUCUACAAUCUGCGAAGAGACGUACUGUUGGAGAUGGUAAAAGGUUUAUUGUUGUUAAUGCUGGAGGGCGCACUGGCUUUGUGCCAGGAGCAGGAUUACUUUUUGUUUCAGGUCAGAAGACUGCAGACUAACAUGGCGAGAUGAAUGGGGAAACUUUCUUGAUGUGGUUUGAAGACAUGUUGGUGCAUCUUGAGGAACCCAGUGUCAUCAUAAUGGACAAUGCUUCAUAUCACAGCACCCAGGUUGAGAAAACACCUACAACGAACUGGACCAAGGCUGCACUGAUCGCGUGGCUGGAGAAGAAUGGGAUAAAACAUGAAAAUAAUUUGUUGAAAGUGGAGCUGCUGAGAAUAGCUAAACAAAACAAGCCCCGAAUACGAUGGGCGAGGUGUGUGGAUCACGUGGAGAAGCUAAUUCAAGCAGACUGGGAGAGAGAAGUCCACAUAGACAGCGGCACCAUUCCUCCACUCAUCAUCCACCUCGGCGAGGAUAGUUCAAGUGAAGACAGUGACAGCGAAGAAUUUGAGGUUACGACACAGCAAUUAGAUGGAGACAGUGAAGUACUGGCAGUUCCUCUUGAUGAUUUACCCGGGUGUUCUUAUUGAGGUCUGUAUGUAAUAAACACCUGGGCAACUGUAAGUAUUGGGGUUUGAAACAUUUUUUUUUCUUUUAUGCAUUCCCAUUAAGUAUGUUGAUUACUGGAACUUUAUGUAUUAACUUUAUAUUACACGUAUUAUGAAAUGAAUAUUAAAUUUCAUUUCUGGAUUCGUAUAGGUGUAUGUGAAACAUUUUAUUUUGUUGUGUCUCUUCAUUUUUCAGUGAACUUACUUGGAAAACAAAAAGCCAGUCCCCAUCCAGGGCCACAAAUAAAUAAUGCAUAUAAGUGGUAUAGAAAUUACUGUCAAUUCUUCACCACAAUUUUACUGUUCAUAAAAUUAUGAUUUUGUCUAAUAAGUAUACUCAGGAAAAUGUAUAUAACCAUAUUUUUAUUUGUGG